rnacentral:rRNA from 1 species
UACGAAGGGGGCUAGCGUUGUUCGGAUUCACUGGGCGUAAAGCGCACGUAGGCGGCUUCUUAAGUUAGGGGUGAAAUCCCGGGGCUCAACUCCAGAACUGCCCUUGAUACUGUGGAGCUUGAGCCCGGGAGAGGUGAGUGGAACUCCGAGUGUAGAGGUGAAAUUCGUAGAUAUUCGGAAGAACACCAGUGGCGAAGGCGGCUCACUGGCACGGUACUGACGCUGAGGUGCGAAAGCGUGGGGAGCAAACAGG